UGGGGGAUAUUGCACAAUGGGGGGAACCCUGAUGCAGCAACGCCGCGUGAGGGAAGAAGGUUUUCGGAUUGUAAACCUCUGUCUUUGGUGACGAUAAUGACGGUAGCCAAGGAGGAAGCUCCGGCUAACUACGUGCCAGCAGCCGCGGUAAUACGUAGGGAGCGAGCGUUGUCCGGAAUUACUGGGUGUAAAGGGUGCGUAGGCGGGGUUGCAAGUCAGGCGUGAAAUCCAUCGGCUUAACCGGUGAACUGCGCUUGAAACUGUAAUUCUUGAGUGAAGUAGAGGCAGGCGGAAUUCCGAGUGUAGCGGUGAAAUGCGUAGAUAUUCGGAGGAACACCAGUGGCGAAGGCGGCCUGCUGGGCUUUUACUGACGCUGAGGCACGAAAGCAUGGGGAGCAAA
rnacentral:rRNA from 1 species